GGCCCGCGUUAGAUAGGUAGUUGGGGGGGUAAUGGCCUACCAAGCCUACGAUCUUUAGCUGGUUUUAGAGGAUGAUCAGCAACACUGGGACUGAGACACGGCCCAGACUCCUACGGGAGGCAGCAGUGGGGAAUCUUGGACAAUGGGGGCAACCCUGACCCAGCCAUGCCGCGUGAGUGAUGAAGGCCUUAGGGUCGUAAAGCUCUUUCGCCUGUGAAGAUAAUGACGGUAGCAGGUAAAGAAACCCCGGCUAACUCCGUGCCAGCAGCCGCGGUAAUACGGAGGGGGUUAGCGUUGUUCGGAAUUACUGGGCGUAAAGCGCACGUAGGCGGACUGGAAAGUUGGGGGUGAAAUCCCAGGGCUCAACCCUGGAACUGCCUCCAAAACUAUCAGUCUAGAGUUCGAGAGAGGUGAGUGGAAUUCCGAGUGUAGAGGUGAAAUUCGUAGAUAUUCGGAGGAACACCAGUGGCGAAGGCGGCUCACUGGC
rnacentral:rRNA from 1 species